rnacentral:snRNA from 1 species
GUAAAUUCCUAAAUACAUUUUAACCUAAAGUUUCAGGAAGAGUCUUUGGUGGAUGACUCAUUACUUCAAGAUGAUGAUGAAGAAGAAGAGGACAAUGAAUCUCGUUCUUGGAGAAGAUGAUUUGACUGAUCAUUGAUCGGCAUAUGCUAGAACUCUACCUGUGUUUCAUUAGUAUUAUCUAAUGUACUUUUACAUAUUUGUAAAAACAAUUUUUUGGUAAAAUGUGAUGAAGAUGGAUUUCACAAAUAGACAAAAGAGAAGAAAACUACCUUCUGAUCCUGUAUUUUGAAAGAUUGAUGUUUGCAUUUUAUUUCAGUAAACAAUUGCUAAAGACAUCAUACUAGAACAUAUGCAAUGUUUUUAUUACAUACUUCUACUGAACAUUACAGAAUUCUUUGGGUUCUUUGUAAUUUAAUGAAUAGGUCUGAAAAAAUAUGACCCAAUACUUGUUAUAAUUUAGAGGAUUUUGUUUUACUCCAAAUAAGGAAUGAAUUUGCAUUUAAAAUCUUAAUGAAUGUUUUCAAAAUGAAUAGAUAACAUAGUACUCUAACUAAAGUCUCCAAGUUAUGUACUCAUAAUAUUACAUAGUAGUAUGCUUAGGCUUUACUAUGUAUUAGCCUUUUGUUGGACUUGUGUAUGUAUUUUAUCACAUGGGUUUUAAUAAUAAUGGUGUAUGACUGCUUUACAUAUGAGUCCUUAUGCAUCUGGAUGUUAAAAAUAAAGUGGAAUGGUCUCUUAAAAAGAAAAGAAAAGAAAAAAGUGACAAAAAGAAAAAAAAAGUCCAAGACAAUGUUCCUUGAUUAAAAAAAAAAGAAAAAAAAGAAAGAAAAAAGAAAAGAAAGAAAAAGAACAAAGGAAAAAAAAGAAAAUAAAAAAUUAAAAUAAAUAGACCAUUCCAGAUGGUGAUCUACCCUUCCCCCCAAUUAUCACAAAAGAAGCUAUAAUCACUUAUUCUUAAUGAUUAAUGAUACCUUUACAAUAAUGUACAAUCCAAUGUUUAAAAUUCUACCACUUCAGUUUGGUUUCAUCCUAUAAAUUUUCAACAGAUGUCUUAAAAUUUAAAAGCAGGCUGAUUAGUUUGGAGCCAGACUUCAAGUAGAGCUAACAUUUGGUGAAUAAGAAAGCAUCAUUUUACAUUUUGGAUGUAUGAAAGAAAACUUGACCAUUUGAAGAUGUAUGAAUAAAGAAAUGUACUAUAGAUACUACUUUAGGAAAACACUGUUUGGUAAGUGUUCCAGUCUGAUACUUUAAGUGUGCAUUUCCUAUACUUGUAUAAAAAUCUUUGAAAUUUGCAACAAUAUUGUGAUUUUUAAGUGGAUUUCUCUGGCAAGUGAACAUGAUUAUUGAAAGUUGAUAUAUCGGUUUUCAGGAAAUAAAUAUAUUCUUUGUAGAAUGAGGGGGUAGGAGAUUAUUAUAUUUAUUUUUAAAAUCCAUCAUUUCAAUUACAAGUGUUUCUGCCUCUCUUGAGAUUAUAGAGAUAAUAUUAAAAAUCACAUUUUAAAAAAUCACUUUCAUUCAUAUUGGAGACCUUAUAAUCAAAAACUAAUUCCAUUUAUGGAUGCUAUUUUUUUUUUAAACUUCCCCAUACACUUUGGGUUGAAGUUGUACUUUCUUGAUGGUAAUACUAUUUUGUAGGAAUGUUUUGACUUGCAGUUGCUUAUAUUUAAAAUUACACACUCAGAUUUCAGUUGUCAAAAAUACUUACUUUACCAAAAACUUUACUUAUAUCUAUGAUAUACUUUUAUGUAGUCUUUUGUAUGUUGACUAUGUGCUAUUCUGAUUCAUUAGGUAAGUUUCUUUUCUUUUCUUUUUAGUAGUCGUGAAAGGUGCCAAAUUGGCAGAGGCUCACGUUUCUUCUCUUUACACCAAACAGGUAUUAUAAAGAAAGUAAAUCUUUCGAAGGCCAGUUAAAUCUCCAUGCUGAUUUUUGGCUUUAUAAUUUGAUUAGUAAAUUUUUGCCCAAUGUUUCAAAAAUUACUGUAAAAUUCCCUUAUAAUGUACCUGAAAUUACCUGCUGUGUUUAUUUCAGCCCAUAAACAGCUAACCAGAAACACCUAGCCUAAAUUUCCUAGUAACCUAGAAUUUUAAAUGUUUUAACCAUGUUGCUUUAAAUGAAUCAGAAGACAAGUAUGUUUCAGUUUGAUCUGACAGUAUGAAGAUUAAAUAUUACCAACAUUCAUUAGGUUCAGAAAUUAUACUUUUAUAGACAUUAGUAUGGUUUUAAUUAUAAAUAUUACUUAUUAUGGAUUUUUAUGGGUAUGUUUAUAAAUACUCAGUCUCUGUGUUGUACUUUUUACAUGUUCUUUUAUUUAAAGUAUUCAUUAAUUUUAAGUAGUCAUUAAUUCCCAUUUUACAGAUAAGGAAACUUAGGCUAAUAGAAAUGGAGUGAUUUACCCAAAGUCAUGGCUCAUGAGUGGAAGGACUAGAUUUGAAUAUAAGCAUUCUGAUUCAGUGCCAACUUUUUGUUUUGUUUUUGGUACUGGGGAUUGAACCCAGGAGUGCUUCACCACUGAGCUACAUCCCCAGAUUCCUCCCAACCCCCACCCCCUACCUUUUUUUUUGUUUAUUUGUUUUGUUUUGUUUUGUUUUUGAGACUAGCUCUAAGUUGCUGAAGGCCAAACUAAGUUGCUGAAACUGGCCUUAAACUUGGGAUCCUUUUGCCUCAACCUCACGAGUAACUGGGAUUACAGGCGUCCCCACUUGUGCCAGCCCCCCCCCCCCCAAAAAAAAAAAAUUAAACUACAUUACUACUUCUUUCCUAAUUAUUGAUAAGUCAUGAGAUUGUGUUUAUAGUAAAUGUGGUAGUUCUUAUCUCAGAGAUACUGCACAAAAUUAAUAUAUUUAUUUGUCAUCAGGAAGUUCAUACUUUUACCCUCCCUUUUAAUGCAGCACUUUGUUCAUAUCUUUGUUACAAUACUUACGUUGUAAUAUAAUUUAUCUGGUUAUAUGUUACAAGCUCCUCUAGGAAGGGGACCAUGUCUUAUUCAUCUUUUUAUCUCUACUGCUUAUCAUAAAGCCUGGCUCAUGUGGGCACUCAAAUGUUUGUUGGAUAAUAUAGUGAAUGAAUGCAUAUUUAAAUCUCCAGUAAUGGGGUGACAAUUACCUCCCUUGUUAAUUCUUAUCAAUUUUACAAAAAUUUCUUUUGAUGGUCUUUUCAGUCACUGAGACCAUUUUGCUAAACAGUGGAUACAGUUAAACUUCUCUUUAGAGGGUUUAUACUUACAGUCUUAGUGAAAUUUCCACAAUAAUUAGUAAGGCAUUAAUAUUUGGGAGUGUUAAAUGUUGUAAUAUCAGAGGUAAUAUAGCCUUUGAGUUUCUAUUAGAGAAUGUGAUUGCAAAUACUGAGAAUCACCAAUCUAGUCCAUCCCACUAAUUUUUUAUAUCCAAAGGUGACCUAGUAUAGAAAACUGGACAAGUGUUAAGAGAUAACAGUUUUUGGUCUCAGCUCUGCAACUAACUGUGGCCUUAGACAAGUCUCUUACCUUAUCCAGGGUUGUUUCCUUGUCUGUAAAAUGAAAGGGGUUGGACUAGAUGAUCUCUAAGAUCCCUUUCAAACGUGUAGUUUCUUUGGUGCUAUUUUAGUGUUCCAAAACAAUUUAAUAUAUAUAAAUCAAUUCUUUAUGUCUGUUGUUGCUGUUGUUUCUAUCAUCUUAUCAGUGGAAACAACUUAGAUGUCGUUUUGAUAAUACAUAUAAUAUCUCUUGGUACAGUUUUAUAUGUAGACUUCCCAAAUUCCAUUCAACCUACUAAUAAGUAAAAAUUAACUUCUCUAUUCACUAGCAAACUUCCAUUUCCCUAUUAUAACUUUUCCUUUUGUUUCUAAACUCAAGGUUUAAAAAUAAAAAUAUCUGCCUGUAAUGCAGAAAGUCUCUUCAUAUGCAAAUAUGGAUUUAAAUCCUCUGUUCAUUUCAGUUUACUUUCUUUUUUUUACAAUAUGCUACCUAAAAGUAGAAACAUUUUUAAAUUCUAUAAUUCAACUAACAAGUUUUUUGCUUUACUGUGCAUAUAUGAGCUGUUGCAGGCAGAGUUGGGGAUGGGAAAAGGAUUAAGGGCAACUUAGGUUAUCUGCUUAUAAGAAAAAACAGGAAAAUUAUAUAUUACUGGUUAAAAGAUUGAUUAGGAUUACCUCAAGGGAUGGUUGAGUUGUCAUUUUACAUAUUUCAGUAUUUUAUGUCUCUGAGCAGUUGUUGUUUUAAGUGUUACUGGAUAAUUGUAACAUUAUAAAAAUUAAGUAUUUAAUUGAUGCCCAUACAUUUAAUGAAACUAUGAUGCAGGAAUGGAGAAUAUUCCAUAACUUUUGUUUUAUCGUCAUAUAAUCCAGUGUAACAACCAGUAGUGUAAAGACAAGGCUUCACUGUUUUAGCUGAUUACUUAUAACAAGUAUAGCUGAACUUAAUAGAAGAAAACAUCUUGUUACUAAAACUGGUUUUGGGGCACUGUAUUUCCAGUCUUAUUUGGAACACUAACUAUUGGGCAUAAAGGUCUUUUAAAAAAAAAGCAGUUGCUUGUUUGGUAUGUUGAAAUAUUAAUGAUUGUAUCAGAGUAUCAUACAGAUUUUAUCCAUCCAUAUUUUCUUUUUUCCCCUUACACAUAAUACAGACUAAUUAUAGAAAAUUAGAUUUAGUUCUCCUAGAAUUUACCUAAGUAUUUAUGAGCCUCUCCCCCUUUUAUAAAAAGUUUGCUAGCCUUUUAAAACAGAUGUCCUGUAUGAUUGUUAAAUUAGUUCACUUUUUUGAGCUUUCUUUCAGAACUUCUAAAAUCCUAUAAAUUAAAAAUGGAAAUUUAAUGUAGAAUUAAAUCACCACUGUAAAAUAUUUGUAAGGCAGAAGGAAAAUUUCUUUUUCCCAUAUAUUAGAAACUUAUUUUUGUUAACAUCUUGAACUGGCUAGUUCUAAGGUAUGUAUAUGAUUUUUAGAAAAGAAUAGUUCUAUUUUUUUCUCUUUGACAUUAUAUACUUAUCAAAUGAAACAGUCUUCUAAGAUAGCUACCUAAAAGUCCUAGGAAGAAAGAAAUUUUGGUGAACAUUACUCCCAUUGUCAAUAAUUUCAAAUGAAAACAUCAUACUUCUUUAGUAGAAAAACACCUAAUAUCUUGCACUUUGUUAGUAUUUUGUGCUCAUUACUUAAUUAAUUGAAAGCACUCUUAAUUUCACAUCACAUUUUUAUAUUUACUCCUUCCUAAGUCUCUCCCUUCGUGUUUCUUUAUUUCAUCCAUUCACUUUUCUUCUCAUCAUCCAAAGUUAGUCUUUUUUGGUAUACCAGACACUGUCUCAUUUUGAUGCAUUUCUUUUUGACCUUAGUACUUAGUAUAGAAUUUUAUAUCAUACAGAGUGUUUAAAGAAUGAAAUGGUAAUUGAAUGGAAUUUAAGGAAAUUAGUUACACCUUGCAAUUACUUUAAAGAAAAUUUUUAUUUUUAUUUAAAAUACCUUGGAGUUCAUGUUUUUUAAAUUUUUCUCUGCCUACCCACAUCUCUAUGAAUAUAUAACCUGAUAAGGAUCUAGAUUUCCUAACUGAAAAUUUCAGUCAGAACCAUGUUAUAGUGCUGUGAGUUUUGGAAGCUUGAUGUUUCAAAGAAACAUGAUGUAGAGAAGUUUUGUUAAAAUCACUUUAGUCCAAAGCUAGUCCUUUGUGUAAUUUGUCUGCAACUUUGAUUAUGAUUCCUUUCUCAAAAAGAUUAUUUUAAUGUUUAGAAAAGUUGAAGAUCAAUUUAUGGUGUGACUCAAUUUUUAGAAUUAUUUGCUUCUUGCAAAGUUUUUUUUUAAUAGUCUUCUCUUUUUUCAGCAGAGAGAGAUCAUCAUUGCCUGAAUUUAGUUUUGUGACUACAAGAGCAAGACCUGUUCCUGUCCGGAGACGACUGUUAAUGAUAAUAUCAUCCUAUCAUUUUGUUGCCCUUUAUCAAUUGAAUAGAUGUUUACAUGUACUAUAAUUAGCAUUUUAUCUUUACAGUACACCCGAGUCCAGAAGUAUCUGAAUGUGUGUUCUGUGUGACCUUAUUCAUAAAGGUUUUUUCCCCUUACUUUAUAGCCACUAUUUUUUUAAACACCUUAAAGAAGGAACAAGGCCUCUUAGUUUCCUAAUAUGAGUACAUUCAACCUCAGCCAAAUUGAGAAUUGUGUCUGGGAAAUCUAUAAAGCCAUGAUACUGUGUGUGUUCAUUAGCAUGAACAAUUUAUAAUGAAGAAAAUGAAUUAAAAAGUUAAGCAUAGUUUGGUUUUAAUUUUUUCUUGGUUUUAAGAUAUAUUUCUGAGAUUACAAGAGUCACUUAAAAUAAUUUUGAACAAAUGAGAUAUUUUUACACACUGUAAUGCUUGCCCAUUUCUUAAUGAAUAUACUUCAUUGCCAGCACCGCUUACCCAAAUAUUAUUUUUUUUUUAAUUCUUAGCUCUUCAAAACAAGGAGAAUAAUUUUCUUUUUGAGUAAUAAAUGAUGAUCUGUGGAUUAUAAAUAUUGAAAGAGAUCUAUUAAAUGUCCAGUUUACACAGCUUUUCCUGUUUUCUUCACUUGUAAUCAAACAUCAAAAGAUGAUCAAAGAUGAGCAAAGGGAAAUAGUAUAAUGUGUCUAACAUUGUUAAAGACUAUAUAGUUUCAGCUGCUUUAAAAAGUGCUUAGUGCUUGGUUCAGUAGCACAUAUACUAAAAUUGGAAUGAUACAGAGAAGAUUAGCAUGGCUCAUGCUCAAGGAUAACACAAAUUCGUGAAGCGUUCCAUAUUUUAAAAAAUGUGUAUACAAAUUAUUUAUAAACAAUGGCUUAGAAUUACCAAGACUAUGAUUAAAUCUCAUGUACACUCAAUAUUUUUAAAAAAAUUUUCUCAGUAUUCCUUCAUAGAUUCUUAGGCAUUUGAGCACUCAAGUCUUUAUUAGGAAAGUGAAGUUACACUGAUUCUAUUCACCAUUUUUUUUAAGUUCAUCCAGACAUACUUUUUUUGUGUGCAAAGCUGACUAUUCUACAUUAUUUUCCCCUUGAAUAUGCAUCGUGAUUGUCUUAUAAAAAAUGAAGAGAAUGUAAUAAACAUAUAAUAUUAUCUGUUUUGAUCCACAUUGGUUACACAGGCAUGGUUAAGGGAAAAGUCAUAUUGUGAAAAGUCUUCUGACAGUUAUUAACAAGGCAUUUGUUUUCUUAAACUUGACUUUUUUGAGGGGGCCGGGGGCAUUCGCAUUUACAAACUAGCAGGUAGCUAGCUACCGGAAAUUCAAAAACAUUUUCCCAGAUUAGUUUGGUACUUUUGAUUUUCAAGGAAAGACUCUCUGCCCCUAAAGUAGUAGUUCAGCUGCUAGAUUAGAACCCAAAGAACAUCUUCUGAAGAGACCCUACUUGCUCUUAAGUUUUGUUUUUUUUAAUGGAUGUGGACCAUUUACUACCACCUUCAACUUUGUCAUGGUUUUUCCCUUUGCUUUUAAAUUAAAGCAAAUUGAAUAUGCCAAUGGGAAUCAAAAGUCAAGAUGAUUUGAUUCUCAUUAAGAUCAUUGUGUUUUUUGAAAAUUGCUGUGAGAUCCAGUUGGUCAGUUAUGUAUUUAAAUCCUCAUAUGUUGAUUAAAGAUAGGUUCUCAUUUUUUAAAUUUUCUUAAAUAGGAUUCUCAUGGAGCUAUGUGUAGAUAACUGUACAGAAUCACUUUUAUGUAAUGAAUGAAGUGGUUUACCUCUGCAUGAUUGCAUUAUGGAAGCCUUUUAUAUAUCUUUAUAUUUUUCAAUAUACUUAGAUUUUACACUAUUAGCCACUCUAGUCAUGCUAUAUUUGUUUUUUUAAUAGAGUUUAUAAAUAUUUAUGCUCAAAGUACAGAUCAACUGAAUAUUUUUGGUCUUGUUUACAAGAUAAUACUUUAAAGUGAUACAGGCCCCUCAAGUGUCUUAGGAAAAAGUCGUUGGUGCUACAAAACCUUUCAUUAAUCAUUUUGAACCUGUUGUCUAGACUUUGCUAGGCUUUAAUCUGUGAUUGCUUAUGAUUUAUUCUAAUCUAGCAGCAUAAUUAUAAAAGUGGUUCACGCUGAGUCAAGUAAAGAGCCCAGCCUAUUUGAAACACCUCAUAAGUUAAGGAAAUGGUACAGAAUGACUGUACACUUAUUUGUGCCCAGCUUCCCCUAAAAGAUUAUUUUGAUAAGAAGGUUAUUAAUUUGACUAAAAUUUUAAAAAAUGUAUUCAGCAUGGCUGUUUUCUCAUAUGUCAAUUGGAAAACUUCUCUAGUACUAAAAUAUUAUGUAAUCUUACUCUGCUUCAAGUUGCCUUCUUUCACUCAACAGUAGGCAGAGUAAUUCUUGACUAUUUGCAGAAUACUUGAUGAGUUAUUAAGAGAUGUAUUAUUACAUUGUACAAGUUUUGCAUUGAUGUGUAGAGUUUUUGUUUUGUCCCCAAAUUUUAUUCCAGCACCUUAGUGAAUGUUCUUAAGAUACUAUUGUUAAGUAUCAGCAAAGCAUUCAUAUAUGUUUACUUUUGAUUCUCAGAAUCCUGAACUUGUUUUGAGUGGUACUACUUCAGAACAUACUGUCUGGCACAAGAUUUCCUUUAACAAGUGGUUUGUUUUAACUUAGUUUCUGUGGACUGCUGAAUCUAAAAACACCAAAGGAGUUUUUUCUUGUCUGAAGACUGGAUUGUUCCAGUGUUUAAUACCUGUGCCCAUAAGUAUCCCAUUUCAUGAAUGUGUGUUGGCAUGGGGAAAAAUAUUCCCUGCUCUUUGAGUGGAGCGAAAGUAAUUGGUUAAGCUGUAGCAGCUUUUUGUUUAUUUUUAAAGUGAUAAUAAAACUUGAACUUAAAAAAGGCAAAACUUGAACUAGAAACUACUCUUGUAUGCUUAGAAUGUUUAUAGUAUUACAUGGUUUAUGUGGGGUUGUCAACAUUUUUAUUAUUUAUAGUUGAAUUAUGUUUUGUUUGUUAAAUAUCCAUAAUGUUUAUUAUUUUUAUAUUUCAAAAAUUUUAAAAUAAAAUAGUCUUACUAAAAACAGUUGUUAACGUUUAGAAUUGUCCUACAUCUUGCAUCAGCUGUAUUAUUAUGAACUAGAAAGAUAUGUACCCGAUGGGCAUUAACAGUUGAGAAUUCUGAAAAUUGUCUGUACAAAGAAAUGGCUCCACAUUUUCUCUUGCUUCUUCACCCUUAUUCUUAUUUUUUUUAAUUUAAUUUUGGUUCUGGUGUGUUGAUAGCUUAAUAACUCCUCUCACAUAUGCAUACAUAAAUUUUCAUUACCCUUUUCCUCUCUAGUUUCUGCCUCUUCACUGGUGGAAGUUUUCUCUAUUCAUUUAUGGCCAACAAUUUAGGAGUGAUAAGUAUAGAAAUACUAUUAUGUCAAAGGAGGAAUUCCAUGGAUUUCUAAAAGUGAAGUAUCAAUCCCCGAGGCCAUUGAAAGCUUUCAAAUUUCUCUAACUGAAUUUUCACCUGAAGUUUUUUCCCUUCUGAUCUGAUUUGGCUUACUUUCCCAGCAUUUAGCAUGUUCAUUUCAUAUUUAAUUUUAUCAAAUGGAUUUUAUAAAAACUCUGCAAAAAUGCAUUUUCAUCUCACUGUUUCAAUAAAAAAAAUCUAAAGAGAUA